rnacentral:rRNA from 1 species
CCUACGGGCUGCACCAGUGGGGAAUAUUGGACAAUGGGCGAAAGCCUGAUCCAGCAAUGCCGCGUGUGUGAAGAAGGUCUUCGGAUUGUAAAGCACUUUCGACGGGGACGAUGACGACGGUACCCGUAGAAGAAGCCCCGGCUAACUUCGUGCCAGCAGCCGCGGUAAUACGAAGGGGGCUAGCGUUGCUCGGAAUGACUGGGCGUAAAGGGCGCGUAGGCGGUUUAUGCAGUCAGAUGUGAAUUCCCCGGGCUUAACCUGGGAACUGCAUUUGAGACGCAUAGACUAGAGGUCGAGAGAGGGUUGUGGAAUUCCCAGUGUAGAGGUGAAAUUCGUAGAUAUUGGGAAGAACACCGGUGGCGAAGGCGGCAACCUGGCUCGACACUGACACUGAGAGACGAAAGCUAGGGGAGCGAAUGGGAUUAGAUACCCGCGUAGUC